GCCGGAGUGGUGGAAUUGGCAGACACAUGGGACUUAAAAUCCCAUGGCGGGUCCCCGCCGUACGGGUUCAAAUCCCGUCUCCGGCA
rnacentral:tRNA from 1 species